rnacentral:rRNA from 1 species
UACGGAGGGUGCAAGCGUUAUCCGGAUUCACUGGGUUUAAAGGGUGCGUAGGAGGGCAGGUAAGUCAGUGGUGAAAUCUCCGGGCUCAACUCGGAAACUGCCGUUGAUACUAUCUGUCUUGAAUAUCGUGGAGGUGAGUGGAAUAUGUCAUGUAGCGGUGAAAUGCUUAGAUAUGACAUAGAACACCAAUUGCGAAGGCAGCUCACUACACGUAUAUUGACUCUGAUGCACGAAAGCGUGGGGAUCAAACAGG